GUGCUCACUUCAGCAGCACAUAUACUAAAAUUGGAAUACAGGGAAAAUUAGCAUGGCCCCUGUGCAAGGAUGACACACAAAUUCAUGAAGCGUUCCAUGUUUAA
ensembl:snRNA U6 U6 spliceosomal RNA